rnacentral:rRNA from 1 species
CUGACGAGUGGCGGACGGGUGAGUAAUGUCUGGGAAACUGCCUGAUGGAGGGGGAUAACUACUGGAAACGGUAGCUAAUACCGCAUAACGUCGCAAGACCAAAGAGGGGGACCUUCGGGCCUCUUGCCAUCGGAUGUGCCCAGAUGGGAUUAGCUAGUAGGUGGGGUAACGGCUCACCUAGGCGACGAUCCCUAGCUGGUCUGAGAGGAUGACCAGCCACACUGGAACUGAGACACGGUCCAGACUCCUACGGGAGGCAGCAGUGGGGAAUAUUGCACAAUGGGCGCAAGCCUGAUGCAGCCAUGCCGCGUGUAUGAAGAAGGCCUUCGGGUUGUAAAGUACUUUCAGCGGGGAGGAAGGGAGUAAAGUUAAUACCUUUGCUCAUUGACGUUACCCGCAGAAGAAGCACCGGCUAACUCCGUGCCAGCAGCCGCGGUAAUACGGAGGGUGCAAGCGUUAAUCGGAAUUACUGGGCGUAAAGCGCACGCAGGCGGUUUGUUAAGUCAGAUGUGAAAUCCCCGGGCUCAACCUGGGAACUGCAUCUGAUACUGGCAAGCUUGAGUCUCGUAGAGGGGGGUAGAAUUCCAGGUGUAGCGGUGAAAUGCGUAGAGAUCUGGAGGAAUACCGGUGGCGAAGGCGGCCCCCUGGACGAAGACUGACGCUCAGGUGCGAAAGCGUGGGGAGCAAACAGGAUUAGAUACCCUGGUAGUCCACGCCGUAAACGAUGUCGACUUGGAGGUUGUGCCCUUGAGGCGUGGCUUCCGGAGCUAACGCGUUAAGUCGACCGCCUGGGGAGUACGGCCGCAAGGUUAAAACUCAAAUGAAUUGACGGGGGCCCGCACAAGCGGUGGAGCAUGUGGUUUAAUUCGAUGCAACGCGAAGAACCUUACCUGGUCUUGACAUCCACAGAACUUUCCAGAGAUGGAUUGGUGCCUUCGGGAACUGUGAGACAGGUGCUGCAUGGCUGUCGUCAGCUCGUGUUGUGAAAUGUUGGGUUAAGUCCCGCAACGAGCGCAACCCUUAUCCUUUGUUGCCAGCGGUCCGGCCGGGAACUCAAAGGAGACUGCCAGUGAUAAACUGGAGGAAGGUGGGGAUGACGUCAAGUCAUCAUGGCCCCUUAGGCCCAGGGCUACACACGUGCUACAAUGGCGCAUACAAAGAGAAGCGACCUCGCGAGAGCAAGCGGACCUCAUAAAGUGCGUCGUAGUCCGGAUUGGAGUCUGCAACUCGACUCCAUGAAGUCGGAAUCGCUAGUAAUCGUGGAUCAGAAUGCCACGGUGAAUACGUUCCCGGGCCU